UACGGGAGGUCCGGGCGUUAUCCGGAUUUAUUGGGUUUAAAGGGAGCGUAGGCCGGUCUUUAAGCGUGCCGUGAAAUUUUGUGGCUCAACCAUGAGAGUGCGGCGCGAACUGGAGACCUUGAGUGCGCGGAAGGCAGGCGGAAUUCGUGGUGUAGCGGUGAAAUGCAUAGAUAUCACGCAGAACGCCGAUUGCGAAGGCAGCAUACCGGCGCCCAACUGACGCUGAGGCACGAAAGCGUGGGGAUCGAACAGG
rnacentral:rRNA from 1 species